UGUCGAUGAAGAGCGUAGCCAGCUACGUGAAUUAAUGUGAACUGUAUUGCUUUGAUCAUCGACAUCUUGAACGCAUAUUGCGGCCAUGGGUUAACCUAUGGCCACGCCUGUCCGAGGGUCG
rnacentral:rRNA from 1 species